GUUUACUGCUUAUUUUGGGCUUUCUGAAGGCCUCUGGAUUUUUGGAGCGUGGUGUCUGUGAAGAUGGUCAAGUUUUUGAUGUCACUGGGGAGGAAGUCCUCUGCUCAACUAUUGGCCUUAUUUGAUUACUCUCAAUGUUGCUGAGUGUCAGACUGCUCGAGUUGCUUCAUUUUUCAUUUCCUGGGGACUGUGGAAAAAAGAAGAUGCAGUCCUAAGUGGAACAUAUAAGCAAGAGGCAUAAAAAGCAGUAAUGGAAGGUUACUGAGCAGCUAUCAGGAGAAAAAUCUCAACUGCAGAUGGCUGAACUACUGAUCUCUCUGGAAGUGCAUUGCAAGAUAAACAGUCAGUCAAACGAUGAAGAAAUAAUUAUUUCACUGGUACAUUUGCUGCCCAUUAAAGCUUUGGCAGGAAGAAGAACGUGCUGCAGCCAAAGUUCCCAAAGAGCCUGAACUGAGGCUAUCAUUGCUGUGGAAAAGUUUCCAGAAAUGAAAUGUUAAGCAAAUGCCUCAUUCCCUGUCUGAAAAUGGCAGCUAGGGAGGUUUCCACACAAUGGUUUCCUUGUCAGAAAAAAUAUUCCAUACGCUGCUGUAGCUAGCUCAGUUUUCUGUUUAUGAAUGUAGCAUCAAAGAUGUAGAGCCACAGAAGCAGGAUAAAUAGAGGGAUUCAUAGAAGCGAGCCUUAACCUGAACUGUACUUAAAAUCCAUGGAAUACUGCAAUCAAUUUUAACACAAGCACAGCCAGUUCCAGAGUAAAUACAGGACUGGUUGCAGUAGUACAAGUUGUCUUAUAUAUCCCUCCUAGCCUAGGCGUGAUGCUCAGAGGGCUUUUUGACAACAGAAAAUAAAAGGACUGAAACUGUAGAAAUGAUUUUUCCAAAUUCCUCUUGAAGGAAUGACCCCGUGUAGAUGUCCUUGUGUCCUCAUCUGUUGGGAGUUAGCUACUCCUUAUAAUGCAUUUCAGUCAAAAUGACUUGUUAACAAAACUCAUGUUAAAGCUAACCUGUCCCCUUUUGGGUGGGGAGGCGAGGCACGGGAGCUCAGUUUUGACUGCCAUUCUAGUUGAUAGACUGAAGAAAUGGAGCUAUCAAAGAAAAACUCAGGUGAUUUCUCAGGUCUUCUGAUCAGCCUGCUUUCCUUCCUUGGCCAGUUCUACAGCCUAAGAGAGAUGGAAAUGCUUUGACUGCAGUUCCCAUCCACAAAACCAGGGCACAGGCUUUAAGAAGAUUGAACACGUCCAUCAAGAUGAGUUCUAAAUCAAAUGGAUGUGCAUCUGAGGGAAUCCAGGCUCAAAAAGGAGGUUCCAAGACCCUGUGCAUAAAAAUCUGAGAUGCAAAAAAGUUUCUGCCCUGCUGAAGUUGUAUAACACUGUGAUUCAGUGGAAAAUGUUAUCUUGAUGAGUAUCUUGGAAAAAAAAAAAUAAUAAUUGCUAAAUGCUAGGCCUUCU